rnacentral:rRNA from 1 species
AGAGUUUGAUCCUGGCUCAGGAUGAACGCUAGCGACAGGCUUAACACAUGCAAGUCGAGGGGCAGCACAGGUAGCAAUACCGGGUGGCGACCGGCGCACGGGUGAGUAACGCGUAUGCAACUUACCUAUCAGAGGGGGAUAACCCGGCGAAAGUCGGACUAAUACCGCAUGAAGCAGGGGCCCCGCAUGGGGAUAUUUGCUAAAGAUUCAUCGCUGAUAGAUAGGCAUGCGUUCCAUUAGGCAGUUGGCGGGGUAACGGCCCACCAAACCGACGAUGGAUAGGGGUUCUGAGAGGAAGGUCCCCCACAUUGGUACUGAGACACGGACCAAACUCCUACGGGAGGCAGCAGUGAGGAAUAUUGGUCAAUGGGCGUAAGCCUGAACCAGCCAAGUCGCGUGAGGGAUGAAGGUUCUAUGGAUCGUAAACCUCUUUUAUAAGGGAAUAAAGUGCGGGACGUGUCCCGUUUUGUAUGUACCUUAUGAAUAAGGAUCGGCUAACUCCGUGCCAGCAGCCGCGGUAAUACGGAGGAUCCGAGCGUUAUCCGGAUUUAUUGGGUUUAAAGGGUGCGUAGGCGGCCUUUUAAGUCAGCGGUGAAAGUCUGUGGCUCAACCAUAGAAUUGCCGUUGAAACUGGGGGGCUUGAGUAUGUUUGAGGCAGGCGGAAUGCGUGGUGUAGCGGUGAAAUGCAUAGAUAUCACGCAGAACCCCGAUUGCGAAGGCAGCCUGCCAAGCCAUUACUGACGCUGAUGCACGAAAGCGUGGGGAUCAAACAGGAUUAGAUACCCUGGUAGUCCACGCAGUAAACGAUGAUCACUAGCUGUUUGCGAUACACUGUAAGCGGCACAGCGAAAGCGUUAAGUGAUCCACCUGGGGAGUACGCCGGCAACGGUGAAACUCAAAGGAAUUGACGGGGGCCCGCACAAGCGGAGGAACAUGUGGUUUAAUUCGAUGAUACGCGAGGAACCUUACCCGGGCUUAAAUUGCAGAUGAAUUACGGUGAAAGCCGUAAGCCGCAAGGCAUCUGUGAAGGUGCUGCAUGGUUGUCGUCAGCUCGUGCCGUGAGGUGUCGGCUUAAGUGCCAUAACGAGCGCAACCCUUGCCACUAGUUACUAACAGGUGAUGCUGAGGACUCUGGUGGGACUGCCAGCGUAAGCUGCGAGGAAGGCGGGGAUGACGUCAAAUCAGCACGGCCCUUACAUCCGGGGCGACACACGUGUUACAAUGGCGUGGACAAAGGGAGGCCACCUGGCGACAGGGAGCGAAUCCCCAAACCACGUCUCAGUUCGGAUCGGAGUCUGCAACCCGACUCCGUGAAGCUGGAUUCGCUAGUAAUCGCGCAUCAGCCAUGGCGCGGUGAAUACGUUC